CGCCCGCUCAGAAACUUAAAGGAAUUGACGGGGGCCCGCACAAGCGGAGGAGCAUGUGGUUUAAUUCGAUGAUACGCGAGGAACCUUACCUGGGCUCGAACGUAAGAUGACUGUAGGUGAAAGCUUACAUCUCUUCGGAGCAUUUUACGAGGUGCUGCAUGGUUGUCGUCAGCUCGUGUCGUGAGAUGUUGGGUUAAGUCCCGCAACGAGCGCAACCCUUGUGUUUAGUUGCAAACAGGUCAAGCUGUGCACUCUAGACAGACUGCCGUGGACAACACGGAGGAAGGUGGGGAUGACGUCAAAUCAUCAUGCCCCUUAUGAUCUGGGCUACACACGUGCUACAAUGGCCGGUACAACGGGCAGCGAAGGAGCGAUCCGGAGCGAAUCCUAAAAAGCCGGUCCCAGUUCGGAUUGCAGGCUGAAACUCGCCUACAUGAAGUUGGAGUUGCUAGUAAUCGCGAAUCAGAAUGUCGCGGUGAAUGCGUUCCCGGGUCUU
rnacentral:rRNA from 1 species